rnacentral:rRNA from 1 species
GACGAACGCUGGCGGCGUGCUUAACACAUGCAAGUCGAACGGAAAGGCCCCUUCGGGGGUACUCGAGUGGCGAACAGGUGAGUAACACGUCAGUAACCUUCCCUUGACUUCGGGAUAACUUCCCGAAACUGGGGCUAAUACCGGAUAGGAAUCCUUGCUGCAUGGUGGGGGUUGGAAAGCUUCGGCGGUUUUGGAUGGACUCGCGGCGUAUUAGCUUGUUGGUGGGGUAGUGGCUUACCAAGGCUUUGACGGGUAGCCGGCCUGAGAGGGCGACCGGCCACACUGGGUCUGAGGUACGGCCGAGACGGCUACGGGAGGAAGCAGUGGGGAAUAUUGCACAAUGGGCGGAGGCCUGAUGAAGCAGGGCCGCGGGCGGGAGGACGGCCUUAGGGUUGAAAAACGCUUUCAGCAGGGGCGAAGCUUGUGGUGACGGUACCUGCAGAAGAAGCACCGGCUAACUACGUG